CGGGAUAACGACCUGGAAAACCAGAAUGCUAAUACCGGAUAACAACAGNAUGAUGCCUAUCAACUGUUUAAAAGUAAUGGUUCUGCUAUCACUCUUGGAUGGACCUGCGGUGCAUUAGCUAGUUGGUAGGGUAACGGCCUACCAAGGCGAUGAUGCAUAGCCGAGUUGAGAGACUGAUCGGCCACAUUGGGACUGAGACACGGCCCAAACUCCUACGGGAGGCAGCAGUC
rnacentral:rRNA from 1 species